ensembl:snRNA U2 U2 spliceosomal RNA
GCCACUUUUCACCCUUUUGGCUAAGAUCAAGUGUAGUAUCUGUUCUUAAUAGUUUAAUAUCUGAUACGUCCUCUAUCCAGUGAUAUUUUUAAACCUCUGAAUUUGGGGUAUGAUAAUCUACUGAAGCAAUUAAGUAAACAGAUUAUACAAGCUUAUGCAAAAUCCAUUUCCAAAGUUCAAGAAAG